rnacentral:tRNA from 1 species
AAAGGGAGACCUAAUUCAGGUAGGAGACGAAAAAAAAGUAGUCCCUACCAGGAAUCAAUCCCAAAAGGUCGGAGCGAGGCGAAAUUGGCUUUCAAACUAGGUUCUGGGUUCAAGCAAGACCUGAAUCAGGAACAAGGGCUAUUAGCUCAGGUGGUUAGAGCGCACCCCUGAUAAGGGUGAGGUCCCUGGUUCGAGUCCAGGAUGGCCCACCUGCACAGGUGGCAAAAACAAGAGAAGCGAGGAAUCAGCACCUUAUCUUACUGACAUAGUAAGAGAGAAUGCUGGCUCUGAGUAAAGAGUCCAGAGGAACCUUGAAAACUGCAUAGAGCUAGGUGAAAAAGCCAAAAAAGAAGACCGCAAG